GACGAACGCUGGCGGCGUGCCUAAUACAUGCAAGUAGAACGCUGAAGGAGGAGCUUGCUCUUCUGGAUGAGUUGCGAACGGGUGAGUAACGCGUAGGUAACCUGCCUGGUAGCGGGGGAUAACUAUUGGAAACGAUAGCUAAUACCGCAUAAGAGUAGAUGUUGCAUGACAUUUGCUUAAAAGGUGCAAUUGCAUCACUACCAGAUGGACCUGCGUUGUAUUAGCUAGUUGGUGAGGUAACGGCUCACCAAGGCAACGAUACAUAGCCGACCUGAGAGGGUGAUCGGCCACACUGGGACUGAGACACGGCCCAGACUCCUACGGGAGGCAGCAGUAGGGAAUCUUCGGCAAUGGACGGAAGUCUGACCGAGCAACGCCGCGUGAGUGAAGAAGGUUUUCGGAUCGUAAAGCUCUGUUGUAAGAGAAGAACGAGUGUGAGAGUGGAAAGUCACACUGUGACGUAUCUACCAGAAAGAC
rnacentral:rRNA from 1 species